UAGGUCUGGGGCUGUAUUGGUUCCCAAAGGCCGUUGUGCCGGCGGGAUCAAAAGGGAACACGGUGCGACGUACCCAUCAGGGCGCAAAUCCGUGGCUGCCCCCGCAACUGUAAGCGGUGCGCGCCCUCUCAUGCCACUGGCCAAGGCCGGGAAGGCGAGGGCGCUGUACUCACCGUGAGCCAGGAGACCUGCCGAUACACUUGCCGGGCU
rnacentral:ncRNA from 1 species